CUGGCGGCGUGCCUAAUACAUGCAAGUCGAACGAGGUAGCAAUACCGAGUGGCGAACGGGUGAGUAACACGUAGGUAACCUGCCCUUAAGCUUGGGAUACCCAGAGGAAACUUUGGCUAAUACCGGAUAACAACAGAGAAGGCAUCUUCUUUGCUUGAAAGGCCCUUCAAGGGUCACUUAAGGAUGGACCUGCGGCGCAUUAGCUAGUUGGUGAGAUAACAGCCCACCAAGGCGAGGAUGCGUAGCCGAACUGAGAGGUUGAUCGGCCACAUUGGAACUGAGACACGGUCCAAACUCCUACGGGAGGCAGCAGUAAGGAGUUUUCGGCAAUGGGGGAAACCCUGACCGAGCAACGCCGCGUGAGCGAUGACGGCCCUAUGGGUUGUAAAGCUCUGUUGUAAGCCAUGAAUGACAGCUUGAGGAAAUGCAAGUUGUUUGACGACAGCUUACCAGAAAGCCACGGCUAACUACGUGCCAGCCGCAGC
rnacentral:rRNA from 1 species